rnacentral:rRNA from 1 species
UACGAAGGGGGCUAGCGUUGCUCGGAAUCACUGGGCGUAAAGCGCACGUAGGCGGCUUUCUAAGUCAGGGGUGAAAUCCUGGAGCUCAACUCCAGAACUGCCUUUGAUACUGAGGAUCUUGAGUUCGGGAGAGAUGAGUGGAGCUGCGAGUGUAGAGGUGAAAUUCGUAGAUAUUCGCAAGAACACCAGUGGCGAAGGCGGCUCACUGGCCCGAUACUGACGCUGAGGCACGAAAGCGUGGGGAGCAAACAGG